GCCAGCCCGAGAGCCUAUGUACCUUGGCUUUAAAGCCCGGAAUUGAAGUUGAUUAAGCAAGGAGGAGGAAGAGAAAGAAGAGGAGUUUGAUUAAGGACAGGAGAGAACAGUUUCAGUAACCUGUGGCCAACAGCGGUCCCUGAAACAGAGAAUCCUCCUGACGAAUCAUGGAAUCAUGGACAGGCACUAACUAGUAGCCUGAUGCUGCGUCUUGGUGCCUUCCAUCAUUCACCUCACCUGUUCUCAUCGCGUAGCCAUUUUUUCAUCUCACGUCAUUACAAGAAGAAAAACAUGGUGCUAACCGUAGGGAAGAAGGUGGCAAGAGAAAACAAAAAUCAACUACCCCAAUCCAUUUCUCUCUUUCCCGGCAAUCCUGUUUUGAAGGCAGUCACUGCUUCUCAGAAAGGUCACACCAAAAUCAAUCAAAGGUGGGGUUGGAAACCUUUGUAGCACUAUGAUACAUGGUGGAAGUGUAGAUUAUUUUAAGAUUUCCUUCCUGGGAGGCAUCAGCCUUAAGCAAAUAUUGAAAGACAGAAGCAUCUUACAAAAAUGCAGAACAAAUUUGCAUUUGUUUUUCCAAUCUGAGGUUUACUGGGGACAAUAUCUCUCCAACACACGUGGCCUGAGAACACAGUUGAACACAAAGCUGCCAAAAAAACUGGCUGUGGCUUCCAAGAGCUGUGAUUUCCAAAGGAGAGCAGACUGUGAGUCCUAG
rnacentral:lncRNA from 1 species